rnacentral:rRNA from 1 species
UACGUAGGCAGCGAGCGUUGUUCGGAGUUACUGGGCGUAAAGGGUGUGUAGGCGGUUGUUUUAAGUUUGGUGUGAAAUCUCCCGGCUCAACUGGGAGGGUGCGCCGAAUACUGAAUGACUUCGAGUGCGGGAGAGGAGAGUGGAAUUCCUGGUGUAGCGGUGAAAUGCGUAGAUAUCAGGAGGAACACCGGUGGUGUAGACGGCUCCUCUGGACCGUAACUGACGCGAGACACGAAAGCGUGGGUAGCAAACAGG